GGAUAACUUACCCUUAGGACUGGGAUAACUCUGGGAAACUGGGGAUAAUACUGGAUAUUAGGCUAUGCCUGGAAUGGUUUGCCUUUGAAAUGUUUUUUCGCCUAAGGAUAGGUCUGCGGCUGAUUAGGUCGUUGGUGGGGUAAUGGCCCACCAAGCCGAUGAUCGGUACGGGUUGUGAGAGCAAGGGCCCGGAGAUGGAGCCUGAGACAAGGUUCCAGACCCUACGGGGUGCAGCAGGCGCGAAACCUCCGCAAUGUACGAAAGUGCGACGGGGGGAUCCCAAGUGUUAUGCUUUUUUGUAUGACUUUUCAUUAGUGUAAAAAGCUUUUAGAAUAAGAGCUGGGCAAGACCGGUGCCAGCCGCCGCGGUAACACCGGCAGCUCGAGUGGUAGCUGUUUUUAUUGGGCCUAAAGCGUUCGUAGCCGGUUUGAUAAGUCUUUGGUGAGAGCUUGUAGCUUAACUAUAAGAAUUGCUGGAGAUACUAUUAGACUUGAAGUCGGGAGAGGUUAGAGGUACUACCGGGGUAGGGGUGAAAUCCUAUAAUCCUGGGAGGACCACCUGUGGCGAAGGCGUCUAACUGGAACGAUCUUGACGGUGAGUAACGAAAGCCAGGGGCGCGAACCGGAUUAGAUACCCGGGUAGUCCUGGCCGUAAACGAUGUGGACUUGGUGUUGGAAUGGCUUUGAGUUGUUCCGGUGCCGAAAGGGAAGCUGUUAAGUCCACCGCCUGGGAAG
rnacentral:rRNA from 1 species